AAACAGACACUUCACAAUGAUUUUGUAUUUGGCAUUGGUUUCACUUCUUUGCCUUCCAUUUGCAAAUUCCUCAUUUGGUCGAGCUGUUUGUGGAACUCGGUCAUACAAUCCAAUGUUUGAUAUUUGCUGCAACGGAGUAAUAAAUAGAAAAGGCUCGGACACAAGUUGUUGUGGAACUAAAGCAUACAAUCCUAUGUUUUUUAAUUGCUGCAACGGAGUAAUAAAGAGAAAAGGCCAGGACACAAGUUGCUGUGGAACUAAAGCAUACAAUCCUAUGUUUUUUAUUUGCUGCAGCGGAGUAAUUAAUAGAAAAGGCUCGGACACAAGUUGUUGUGGGACUAAAGCAUACAACCCAACUUUUGACAAUUGCUGCAAUGGAGUAAUCUGUUAAAUAAUUGUCUAUUUCAAAAUCUAUUUCAAAAUAAAUCUUUCAGUUAUUUCACUAUAAA